rnacentral:lncRNA from 10 species
AGAGGAGUGAACUUAUGACAGUGGUGGUAAGAAUGUCUUGAUGGUCACUUUUGGCUCCCAAUAGCCUGAAUGGUGGUCCCGCAAGAUUCAGAGGAACUAAAAAGCAGAGGAUGUUAGGAUAAUGCUUAUUGCCCCUCCAGAUGUUUCCUUCCCAUUUUCCACUUGAUCCUUCUAGGGGAUCUUCUUUGUUGAGAAACCACAGACGCUCUUCCAGUUAUCAAAUAUAACAAAUCAACCAACAGUUGUCAGCUUAAACCAACAAUAAUUAUUUGCUUUUCCAUGGUUUCUGCUAGCCAGAAAUUCUGGAAGAGUUUGGCUGAGCAGUUCUCAUCUGGAAUCUCUCAGGGAGUUGCAGUCAUGUGUUCACUGGGGCGCUAUCAUCUGAUGGCUUGACUGGGGCUGGAAGAUCUACUUCCAAGAUACUGCUGUCCCAUGGGGGGGGCAUCUUGUGCACCUCCAGAACAUGAGCUGAGCACCCAGUGCCUAGAGCCAGGGGCAGGACAGAAGGAGGCUCUCCCAUGACUUUACAGAUUCAUGGGCAAGAAAUCAGUACACCUGUGGUCGGAUGGAGUGAAGGCAAUUGUGGAGGAGGAGAGGGGAGAAAAAGUCCAAGAAGCCAGAAUCUGGAGGGGCUUCAUCUGUGGGGCCCAAAGUCACAGGAACGAGGCCGGGAGUCGGUGUCGGGGAGGCCACUUUCUGGGGUGAGCAGCCUUACUGGGGAGAAGAGGAGAGGGUGGGCAGGCCCAGGCGACCCCGAGCUUCUGUUUAGAGGACGAUUACCAAGGCUAACUCAAUCCAAAUGGAUGCUCAGCGGCAACUGGGUUGAACGUGGAAAAAGCAGAGAGACUUUCUGUAAUUUACAGGUGAGAGGAGAAAGAGGCUUUGAUUUUGACUGAGGAUUCUCCCGGCGGUGUUACAGUGAGCGCAAAUGAGCGGCGCAGUGAAGCCUGGCAGUUCCUCGGCACGCGCUGCCUGCCCUGCAGACCUCAUUCAGAGCCGUCUUCCACAUUUAAAUCCAAGCCCAAAUAUGAAAGCCUAAUGUUAAUCUUGCAAGUAGAGAUACGCUGCCCUUCUUUUUUUCUUUUCUCUUCUUUUCUUUUUUUUUUUCUGAGAUGGAGUCUUGCUCUGUUGACCAGGCUGGAGUGCAGUGGCGCCAUCUCAGUUCACUGCAUCCUCUGCCUCCUGGGUUCAAGCGAUUCUCCUGUCUCAGCCUCCCGAGUAGCUGGGAUUACAGGCGUGUCAUCACACCUGGCUAAUUUUUGUAUUUUUAGUAGAGACGAGAUUUUGCCAUGUUGGUCAGGCUGGCAUCGAACUCCUGAUCUCAGGUGAUCCACCCACCUUGGCCUCCCAAAGUGCUGGGAUUAUCGAUGUGAGCCACUGCACCUGCCACACCACUCCCUUCUUAUCUGUGGUUUCACUUUCUGCAGUUUCAGUUACCCAUGCUCAACCUCGGCCCCCAAAUAGGUAAGGACAGUACAAUAAGAUAAAUUAAACUUUAUCAUAGGUGCGUAUAUACAGGAAAAAUAUAUAGUGUCUAUAGGGUUCCUUACCAUCUGUGGUCUCAGGCAUCUACUGGGGGUGUUGGAAUUUGUUUUCUGCAGACAAACGGGGGCUAUUUCAUUAGAGAGGUCAUUAUCUGCUUUGCAAAAUGAUUUACAGUGAAGGUCACCAAAAUAGAGGCUGCUACUGCAGUAUUUACUUGGCUUUGGUUUACAGAAAUUUAAACGCAUAAACUUUGUCAGCACCAGAGGCAGCCCCAUUCUUGGGUUUUAGCAGCCCUCCAGCUAAGUGCCUUUAGCCUCGGAUGAGCUACAUGCAGUUUCCCUUUGAAGGGCUCUACCUGGGGACUGGCCACUCAUUUCUACCUAAUUCUUAUGACCUACCAUCUAUUUGGACUUUGAUCCAAGGAGAAAUCUGUUUUCAAAAUCUCUGGCAGACAUGGCAAUGAUGCCAAAUCCAAUCUCGCUGCUCAAAGACAGUGCUCCAUCAUAUUAAACCCAACCUUGGUCACUCCACAGGAGUGUGGCAGAAGGUUUCUGCAAAAUUACUUGGUAGCUAAAUACAAAUCCUGAAGAAGAAACCCAAGCUAUUUUAUCUCUAGGAAAAAAAGAGAUGAACCCCAUCAAGUAAGGGACAGAAAAGUUACCUGCAAGGAAAGCAGGAGCUCAGAUGCAUGAAUAUCUGUGGGUAAGGAGAUGCAGGUUGACCCUCAGAGACAUGUCCAGCCGGAACACCUGCCUUCGUUCUCUGGCAGGUGAAGGUCAAGGUGGGAGCUGGGUGUGUUUAAAAAGAGGGCCAUGCUCAAGACAGCAUUAGACCCAUGGAGGGGCUGUGCCUUCCUUGACAUG